rnacentral:rRNA from 1 species
GACGAACGCUGGCGGCGUGCUUAACACAUGCAAGUCGAACGGAAAGGCCCUGCUUUUGUGGGGUGCUCGAGUGGCGAACGGGUGAGUAACACGUGAGUAACCUGCCCUUGACUUUGGGAUAACUUCAGGAAACUGGGGCUAAUACCGGAUAGGAGCUCCUGCUGCAUGGUGGGGGUUGGAAAGUUUCGGCGGUUGGGGAUGGACUCGCGGCUUAUCAGCUUGUUGGUGGGGUAGUGGCUUACCAAGGCUUUGACGGGUAGCCGGCCUGAGAGGGUGACCGGCCACAUUGGGACUGAGAUACGGCCCAGACUCCUACGGGAGGCAGCAGUGGGGAAUAUUGCACAAUGGGCGGAAGCCUGAUGCAGCAACGCCGCGUGCGGGAUGACGGCCUUCGGGUUGUAAACCGCUUUCGCCUGUGACGAAGCGUGAGUGACGGUAAUGGGUAAAGAAGCACCGGCUAACUACGUGCCAGCAGCCGCGGUGAUACGUAGGGUGCGAGCGUUGUCCGGAUUUAUUGGGCGUAAAGGGCUCGUAGGUGGUUGAUCGCGUCGGAAGUGUAAUCUUGGGGCUUAACCCUGAGCGUGCUUUCGAUACGGGUUGACUUGAGGAAGGUAGGGGAGAAUGGAAUUCCUGGUGGAGCGGUGGAAUGCGCAGAUAUCAGGAGGAACACCAGUGGCGAAGGCGGUUCUCUGGGCCUUUCCUGACGCUGAGGAGCGAAAGCGUGGGGAGCGAACAGGCUUAGAUACCCUGGUAGUCCACGCUGUAAACGGUGGGUACUAGGUGUGGGGUCCAUUCCACGGGUUCCGUGCCGUAGCUAACGCUUUAAGUACCCCGCCUGGGGAGUACGGCCGCAAGGCUAAAACUCAAAGGAAUUGACGGGGCCCCGCACAAGCGGCGGAGCAUGCGGAUUAAUUCGAUGCAACGCGUAGAGCCUUACCUGGGUUUGACAUGGAUCGGGAGCGCUCAGAGAUGGGUGUGCCUCUUUUGGGGUCGGUUCACAGGUGGUGCAUGGCUGUCGUCAGCUCGUGUCGUGAGAUGUUGGGUUAAGUCCCGCAACGAGCGCAACCCUUGUACACUGUUGCCAGCACGUUAUGGUGGGGACUCAGUGGAGACCGCCGGGGUCAACUCGGAGGAAGGUGGGGAUGACGUCAAGUCAUCAUGCCCCUUAUGUCCAGGGCUUCACGCAUGCUACAAUGGCUGGUACAGAGAGUGGCGAGCCUGUGAGGGUGAGCGAAUCUCGGAAAGCCGGUCUCAGUUCGGAUUGGGGUCUGCAACUCGACCUCAUGAAGUCGGAGUCGCUAGUAAUCGCAGAUCAGCAACGCUGCGGUGAAUACGUUCCCGGG